rnacentral:tRNA from 1 species
ACGCUAAUGGUGUAAUGGUAACAUAACCGCCUUCCAAGGCCAGUGUUUCGCACUGAUCUGUUUAGCAGUUGCCUAGGGUUCGAUUCCCUAUUAGCGUA